GAUGAACGCUGGCGGUGUGCUUAACACAUGCAAGUCGAACGGAAAGGCCCUGCGUUUGUGGGGUGCUCGAGUGGCGAACGGGGGAGUAAAACGUGAGGAAACUGCUCUUGAAUUUGGGAUAACUUCAGGAAAAUGGGGCGAAAAUCGGAUAGGAGCUCCUGCUGCAUGGGGGGGGAUGGAAAGUGACGGCGGUGGGGGAUGGACUGGCGGCUUAUCAGCUUGUUGGUGGGGUAGUGGAUGACCAAGGCUUUGACGGGUAGCCCGCCUGAGAGGGUGACCGGCCACAAUGGUACUGAGAGAGGCAGCAGAAGCCUACCGGACGCAGCAGGCGAGAGCAUUACACAGUGGCCCCGAGCCUGUUGCAGCAGCCUCGCGAUCGUAAUGCCGUCUUAUGAGUUGUAAACCGCUUUCGCAUGAACUGAAGAGGGAUUGACGGUAAUUGAUAAAGAAGCACCGGCUAACUACGUG
rnacentral:rRNA from 1 species